UUCUCCUUUUCUUUUUUUCAUUCUAGUAUUUCUACCUCUUCUGGUUUCAAUUUCUAGGUUUUCUCAGUUCGCUGUGGCUAAGAGGCAAUCUUUCCUCAACUCAAUAUCAUGAAAUUGUGAGCCUUUGUUGUAGAAAUAUUGGAAUUCAAUGUUCUCGUUCAAAGUCUAUUGGUUAGAAUCAGCUCGAUGGGGUAGAAUUUUGUUCGACUGAAAGCUCGUCAUCCUAAGUUCAUUGCUCCAAAAAAGGUGAGAAUUUCAUGUCCUUUUUCUUUUUUAUUUAUGUGUCAAAGGUGAAGAUUGCAGGUUUCAAGAUGUAGAAUCGAGUGAAGUUUUUUGUUUGGUUGUUUAUUUCUAUUGAAUGGUUGAAUACGUUUUCAAAAUAAAUGUUCAGGUAGUUGUUAUUGUAGGAGUAUGGUGUUGAAGGAAUUAUGUGAUUUAGCAGUUUUGUAAUUCAAAAUUUUGUCUUUCAUUUGGUACAAUGCUUGCGAACACUACCAUCUCCCUUUGUUUUGUUAUGCUUAAGUAAUAUUAUUUGUACCCAUGAUAUAGUUGAAUGAGUGAUCAUGAGUCUAUCUUGGGCGUUUAAUCAUGGUUCGAAACCCGAUAGCGAAGUCGAUUCUCUUUAGCUUAGGUUCACUUUUUUUUAAAAGUCUAAUGGCCGAUUUAUAUCUUCUCAAGUAAUAUCUUUUUUUCUGUUUAGCAUGGUUCCAUUAUCUAUACAAAAUACGUCCUUGCCUAGAGUUAAUUCCGAAGUAAAAACUGCUGCUAUGCGCUUAUAUUAAUCAUGUUAGUCACGGACUUUAUGAAUAUGGGUAAAAAUACUAUGUUUUAGUUAAUCACCUUAUACUAUCAAAAUCGAGUUAGUUGUUUUUAUACGUAUACAUGAAGACUUCCCGUAUAUGAUUAGCCCUGUACCUCUAGUUUAUUCUAUUUUAUUUGAAGUGAACUGGAGUGUUUAAGUUUUCCAUCCAGUAUUUCUCAGUCUAUGUCAAACCUGAUAGCUAUUCUCCACAUUUUCCUAAGCUUGCGUUGCAUUUGUUUAGACUAAUUUGGUAUCUAAUUGUUGGAUUUGAUUAAGACUAAAAUUUGCUUCAAAGUUGUACUUGAUUUUCCCAUGUCAUUUGGAGCUUUAGAAGAAAAGUCAGUUGAAAUUCUUCAAAAGUUAUCCUUAAGCCCCCUCUUUUAGGAAGAGUCAACUCUCAAAAUUGAUUUAUGUUCUAUCACUCUCGUUGUAUGAUUUGGUGCCAACAUUAUUGGAAAGUUGUGGUUUGUAUUAAAAAAGUAAAAGCAAGUCGUGUCUUUUAAAAUGUUUGGAGGCCAGUGUAACAACAAAGAGACUAAGUCCCCUUCAGAUGCACUGUGUGGACUCUUGAUAAUAUAUGAAGACUUCAUCACAAGUUCACGAAGAUUUCAUCUAGAUAUCAGUAAUCUAAAAUUGUCAUAAUGGAAGAAAAUGAUUAAAAAGUUGGUUUUAAGUCUCUGUUCCUUAAUAAUAGUUAUAGGUUGCUUCCAUUAUUUUCUUUGGCUGCCACAAUUCACCAACCUCAGCUCACGUACUCAAAGUAUGUGUAUGAUAUUAAAAAACUGUAGAUUGCAAGAAAUGCACUUUUGGCAUAGUACAUAUACUAGUCAAGUAUCAAAUGAGACUCUAGCUAAAUUUACCUUUCAUUCCUUUGGUUUUUCUAAGGAAUGAUAGCUAAAUUUCAUUGGUUUCCUAUAGCUUUUAUUCGGUUAGAUAGUUUUUAUUUUUAUCUUAUAGUUGUAGUAUUAUCUUAUUUUUGUCUUGCUUGAAGCCGGGGGUCUAUCAGAAACAACCUCUCUACUUCACAUGAGGUAGUGGUAUGGUCUGCGCACACCUACCCUCCCCAGACCCCACUAUGUGGGAAUAAACUGGAUAUGUUGUUGUUGAUGUUGUUGUAUUUAUUUUCAGAUUGAGAUAUUAUAGUACCUAUUUGUGUUGUAAUUUUUGUUAACUAUUGUUGUACCUAUUUUUGUUCGAAUAAACUAUUACGAUUAAUGAUUCAAAUUGCUUGUUUUUUCUCUAAAUAGUCUUUGGAUGCUAUCAACUAAGAAAACAAGUUAUUUUCUUAUGACUGUGUAGCCAUGCCAAAGAUUAAAUGUUUUAAAAAUCCAUUAAAAUCAGCUCCUGCAUCACAUGAUACUAAUGGACAUUCUUCAUCACCAAUAAGCCCAUCUCAACCUUCUAUUAGGCCUUUAACAUCAGUACCUCCACCACAUGAUGCACCAAAUUUCUCACGAGUUGAUGAAGUUCAAUAAGUACAAGCCCCAACUCAACCAACGAAUUCAAGCGCAACAUGUGAAUUUGUACCACAUUGGAGAGUACAAACAAUUGACUCAGAAAAGAAAAUCAAGAGUAAUAAGCUAAAGGUAAACGAUGUCAACUACCUACCUUUAGGGGAACAUAUAAUUGUGGACUUCGAUGAAUAUGGUGCAGCAAUUGGAGUAGCGCAACGGUUGCUUGCAGAAUAUUGUGGAACGUUGGCAACUGAUUGCAAUUUAUUCCCUAUUAGUUUUGAAAAGUGGUCAGGGCAAGUAGGUGUUCCUAAAAAGUAUAAAGAAGACUACUUUAUGACAAUUUUAAGUCUCGAGUUUUUUAGGACUACUGAAGCCAUUGCAUAUAGAUUUUGUACUUCCAACAUUGGAAAGAAGUGGACAACAUAUAGACUAAGGACGUAUGACGAAUUUGAUGAUCCAGCCAAAAGUACCAAUGAAUUGAUAAGUAAUGUGCCAAAGGGUAUAAACAAAGAUCAGUGGGCUAGUAUGUUGCUUAUCGUAAAAGACCCUUAACAGUUGCGCUUUGCAAGAGAAAUAAAGAAAUUCAAAGCAAGCAAAAGAUUCCACACACUGGUGGUUUAAAAUCAUUGGCAAGAAGACGACAUGAGAUAAGUAAAACCUAGUCGGGGAUAAAUAUAUCUCGAAACUCAUAAAAGGACAGGUGGAUCAUUUGUAAACGAAGAGGCAAGAAUUUUAGGGGAACAAAUUGAGUCAUAUGUGACUCAAUACAAUGAAUCGGAAGCUUCCCCUAGUGAUAUUAUUGGCAAGUUGUUUGGGGAAGAGCACUCGGGAAGGGUGCGAUGUUUAGGUAUGGGAGCAGUUCCUUCAAACACAUUCAGAAAUACCAAAAAACGACUUAGUAAUCUGAAUGGUUCCUCAUCUAACGUUGGUGCGUCAUCCUCAACUGAUACCUAUUUACAUCAAAAGGUCUCUCGUUUAAAAUAUCAAUUAGAAGGAGCUUUGAACGCUUUGAAGACUUACAUGAUAUCAAAGAAAAGAAGUGUUUUUGAUGAAUUUGCUGGCUUGUUUGCUCCUCAACCACAGUCGAAUGAUUCCAAGUGUGAGCCUACUUCACCAGUGGAUACAAGCGGAGCAGCGAGUGACAAUGACGCAAAUCAUCUAUAAAGUACUUAGUUUUUAUGUUUAAAUUAUGGAAUCAUUUUUUGUGGAUUUAUAUUACUCUACUGUUUUACAAACAGUUAGUUAAAAUUUAACUUGGAAUGUGAUAUUUGAAUUUUUGUAAACUGUAGUUUGAGCUAGGAAUGGUAUUUGAAUUUAAGUUAACUGUAGUUUGGGAUGUGUUACAUGAAUUUGUGACUUUUAAUGUUAUUGAUAUUUUUAAUGCGAUUCA